AACGAACGCUGGCGGCAGGCCUAACACAUGCAAGUCGAGCGCCCCGCAAGGGGCGCGGCGGACGGGUGAGUAACGCGUGGGAAUAUGCCCUUUGCUACGGAAUAGUCUCGGGAAACUGGGGGUAAUACCGUAUACGCCCUUUGGGGGAAAGAUUUAUCGGCGAAGGAUUAGCCCGCGUUGGAUUAGGUAGUUGGUGGGGUAAUGGCCUACCAAGCCGACGAUCCAUAGCUGGUUUGAGAGGAUGAUCAGCCACACUGGGACUGAGACACGGCCCAGACUCCUACGGGAGGGAGCAGUGGGGAAUCUUAGACAAUGGCGGCAACCCUGAUCUAGCCAUGCCGCGUGAGUGAUGAAGGCCUUAGGGUUGUAAAGCUCUUUCAGCUGGGAAGAUACUGACGGUACCAGCAGAAGAAGCCCCGGCUAACUCCGUG
rnacentral:rRNA from 1 species